rnacentral:rRNA from 1 species
UCGCGGCCUAUCAGCUUGUUGGUGGGGUAAUGGCCUACCAAGGCGUCGACGGGUAGCCGGCCUGAGAGGGCGACCGGCCACACUGGGACUGAGACACGGCCCAGACUCCUACGGGAGGCAGCAGUGGGGAAUAUUGCGCAAUGGACGAAAGUCUGACGCAGCAACGCCGCGUGAGGGAUGACGGCCUUCGGGUUGUAAACCUCUUUCAGCAGGGACGAAGCGAGAGUGACGGUACCUGCAGAAGAAGGACCGGCCAACUACGUGCCAGCAGCCGCGGUAAUACGUAGGGUCCGAGCGUUGUCCGGAAUUAUUGGGCGUAAAGGGCUCGUAGGCGGUUCGUCACGUCGGGAGUGAAAACUCGGGGCUUAACCCCGAGCCUGCUUCCGAUACGGGCAGACUAGAGGUAGGCAGGGGAGAGCGGAACUCCUGGUGUAGCGGUGGAAUGCGCAGAUAUCAGGAAGAACACCGGUGGCGAAGGCGGCUCUCUGGGCCUUACCUGACGCUGAGGAGCGAAAGCGUGGGUAGCGAACAGGAUUAGAUACCCUGGUAGUCCACGCCGUAAACGUUGGGCGCUAGGUGUGGGGGACAUUCCACGUCCUCCGUGCCGCAGCUAACGCAUUAAGCGCCCCGCCU